UGCUGGAGCUGUGGGAGAUGCGCAGGCAGCAGUACGAGCAGUGCAUGGACCUGCAGCUCUUCUACCGGGACACUGAGCAGGUGGACAACUGGAUGAGCAAGCAGGAGGCGUUCCUAUUGAAUGAAGACUUGGGAGAUUCCUUGGAUAGUGUGGAAGCACUUCUUAAGAAGCAUGAAGACUUUGAGAAAUCCCUUAGUGCCCAGGAGGAAAAGAUUACAGUAAGACCCCUUCUUGUCAGUGCUUUCAAAUGACCCUUAUAGUAAGCCAGAGUC
rnacentral:sRNA from 1 species